CAGCUCAGCAGUGGAGGGAAGAAUGCAGGGCAUGCUGAGGUCUCCCUCCUCCCCAAAGAGGCAGGCCAGCAGGGACAGAGUGUGGGGCGAGCAAUUAGCAGGUGGCCCACAGCGCUCUCUCAGCAGAAGCUGGCUCGCCUUUGACCAGGCGUCCUGGCAGCGGACGGGACACGUUCCACAGGCUCCAGAAGAUAGAGGCGGGAUCAGGUGUGCCUAGAUCGAGUCCAAGACCAAGCACCCAUUUCUACUUACCAUGUUUCUUUUGUCUCUUUUCAUAAAGGCCAGCUUCUCAACUUUUCUUGCUCUUUCAUGAUACUUAAAAAUAUAAUAGCAUGUGAGACUGUGGACUGUGAGAAACAAACUGAGGGUUUUGGGGGGGAGGGUGUGGGGAAUGGUUGAACUUGGUGGUGGGUAUUAAGGAGGGCACGUAUUGCAUGGAGCACUGGGUGUGGUGCUUAAACAAUGAA